rnacentral:rRNA from 1 species
GAGUACGGCCGCAAGGCUGAAACUUAAAGGAAUUGGCGGGGGAGCACUACAACGGGUGGAGCCUGCGGUUUAAUUGGACUCAACGCCGGAAAACUCACCGGGGGCGACAGCAAUAUGUAGGUCAGGUUAAAGGUCUUACCUGAAUCGCUGAGAGGAGGUGCAUGGCCGUCGUCAGUUCGUACUGUGAAGCAUCCUGUUAAGUCAGGCAACGAGCAAGACCCGUGCCCACUGUUACCAGCAUAUCCUUUAUGGAUGAUGGGGACUCUGUGGGGACCGCUGCUGCUAAAGCAGAGGAAGGUGCGGGCUACGGUAGGUCAGUAUGCCCCGAAUCUCCCGGACUACACGCGGGCUACAAUGGUUGGGACAAUGGGUAUCUACUCCGAAAGGAGUUGGCAAUCUCUUAAACCCAAUCGUAGUUCGAAUUGAGGGCUGUAACUCGCCCUCAUGAAGCUGGAAUCCGUAGUAAUCGCGUUUCAACAUAGCGCGGUGAAUCUGUCCCUGCUCCUUGCACACACCGCCCGUCAAACCAUCCGAGUGAGGUAUGGGUGAGGGCACGAACUUAGUGUCGUGCUCGAACCUAAAUUUCGCAAGGAGGGUUAAGUCGUAACAAGGUAGCCGUAGGGGAAUCUGCGGCUGGAUCACCUCCU